UACGUAGGUGGCAAGCGUUAUCCGGAAUUAUUGGGCGUAAAGCGCGUGUAGGCGGCCCAUUAAGUCUGAUGUGAAAGCCCGGGGCUCACCCCCGGAAGUGCAUUGGAAACUGAUGGGCUCGAGUCCCGGAGAGGGAUGUGGAAUUCCAGGUGUAGCGGUGAAAUGCGUAGAUAUCUGGAGGAACACCGGUGGCGAAGGCGACAUCCUGGACCGGUAUUGACGCUGAGGCGCGAAAGCCAGGGGAGCAAACGGG
rnacentral:rRNA from 1 species